UGGGAAAUGAGGAAAGUGUCCCGAAGGGUUACUGUUCACCUGAACAGUACGUGGCGGACAGGAGAGGCAAACGUUUCAUAAAAGGAUUAACUAAGUUGGAGAAGAGUUAUAGUGUCUGUAAAGGAGGCAUCCUAUAAAAGCAUAGAGUAAGUUGGGGAAU